ensembl:lncRNA
AGCCGGGUUCCCCGGAUGGCCCAGCCCCUUCUCAAGUCCCCAGGUCCUCCUGGGUCGUCCCUUCCCCGUGUGACACCUCCAGUGCUGAGACCCCUGGCGCCCUCAGCCCCUCACCCCAUGGCCAGACCCACCUGGCCUCUCCCUUCCCAAGUAUCCGGGUUCACCAAGUCACUCCGUCCCUGUCCCCUCCACUCCAGGACAGUGCAGAUCUUAGUUUAAGUCAACUCCUGGCCACCGUUGCCCACCUCUACCUCCCUCCUUCCUACCUGCCCUUGGGCCUUUGCACAUGUUCUGCGUGCUGCCUCUCUCCAGCCCCUGUGGGCAGGGACUGCACCCUGCCCUGUGUGCAGUAUUUGAGGUGGGAAGCUCCCAGUGGAGUAUAGGAGGGAUGUUCCCUUCUGAACACACGAGUCCUGGGACUACCUCUUGCAUCCAGGGCCACACGCACCCUGAACUCCCUCCACCCAGCCUUAGCUAACUGCUUGAAGACCUGAGUCAGCACCACAGGACAGGCCAGCCAGUGAGAGGGCAGGACAUCCCUGCCCUGCUGUCCCCACCAGGCCGCAGGAAGGGCUGGCCCCUGAGAGAAGCAAGCACUGACUAGUGCCAAGGACAGACUGUGACCACUCCCAGCCAGUCCCUGGAGGAGUUGCAGAACCUUUCUGAUGGCUGGGGGCAAUGCAGUCCUCUGUGUGGAUGCAUCCUUGUCUUUUAUUCUGAGUCCUCAGAGAUUUCAGGCAGACCUGGGGCUCAGCAUGGCGGUUUCUUCACACACACCAGCACCAGCCGCGGAGGAGGCACUAGGCACACGGCCGUGUUCAGCUGCACUGCAGCCAAGGGCAGUAUCUCUUCUGGUUACGACUGAACAGUACCCCUUGUGUACCUGGACCACAUUUCCACCUAGAGUAUCUGUAGACACGGAGGAGCCAUGCCCCUCACAGGACCCCCUCGAGGCCCUGGGGUCCCCUCUGUGCGGCAGAGAGAGACCUGGCCCCUGGCCACAUGCAGCGACUGCAGACAGCCAUGGGGGGCCGAGGACGGCAGUGCCGGACAGCGCUGGGGACACACAGGCCUGCUGGGGACUUCUUUCCACAAGCCAAGUGCUGGGAUCACAGGUGUGUGCACCAUGCCGGCCGAUGGUGGGAUUUUCACAGGCCCCACCGCUCCUGUGGCAGAUAAGUUACCAUGAAACCUGAGCACAGACCAGUGGUGGCCUUAAAACCCAGGACAGAAGCCAGGACAGAAGCAGCACAAAGUGAGAAGGAAGCUCUCGUGGAGCCCUGGCCCGUUCCUGCACUGACGCUCCUGGAAGAGGCCUUCACUGUCCCAGAGUGAGGAUAACAGAGACAAGCCUUCCCGGAAGCCCUGGGAAGGUAUUUUGUCUCAGCAAUGGAAAGCUGGCUAACGCAGAGAUGAUGAAAGCACUGACCCCUCGGAAAGGUGUGAAGGUCGACACUGACUGGAUCAGCCAGGCAUCGUGGCGCACACCUGUUAUGCCAGCCCUCAGGAGACUGAGCCAGGAGGAUCACUGUGAAUUCAUGGCCAGCCAGGGGUACACAGUGAGCUCAGGACCAGUCUGAAGUACAAACCUGCAGAAGUCUUGAAAACGACAGCAGGGCUGAGGUCUCUUCUGGUAGCCAGGCCCUGGAAGGAGCAGA